UACAGAGGGUGCGAGCGUUGUCCGGAAUCACUGGGCGUAAAGGGCGCGUAGGCGGUCUCUUAAGCGUGUGGUGAAAGCCCGGGGCUCAACUCCGGGUCGGCCGUGCGAACUGGGGGACUGGAGCUUGUCAGAGGCAGGCGGAAUUCCGGGUGUAGCGGUGGAAUGCGUAGAGAUCCGGAAGAACACCGGUGGCGAAGGCGGUCUGCUGGGCCAAGACUGACGCUGAGGCGCGACAGCGUGGGGAGCAAACAGG
rnacentral:rRNA from 1 species